ensembl:lncRNA
CAUCAAUUCAUCUUUAUGGAUGAAGCUGGAUUCAACCCGGCAAAAACACGCCGCAGGGGGGGAAAUGUGAUUGGUCAGAGAGCCACCAUGGAUGUCCAAGGCCAGAGAAGAGCUAACAUCACAAUGUGUGCAGCACUGUCCAAUGAUGGUUUGCUGUUACCCCAAACAUUCAUAGGCCCCUACAAUACAGAGAGGCUAGUGAUUAUACUAUACUUGUUGAUGUUUGUUGGUUAUUGUUGCAGCCCUGGAAUUUGGGUGAUUUUUUUUUUUGUUUGAACUUAUUAUUUUUCAAAAGCAUAAUUUACUAUAUGCAAAGAUGUAGAAAAAAUUAAGGAUAUUCCUUCAAAUUGCUGCAUUUCUGAUUCAUUCUUGUUCUGUAUACAUUAGUACAGUCAACAAAGUGAGGGUUUUUUUUAAUUCUAUGAUCAAAUACUGAUUUAUGUGACAAAUAAUUGUAAAAACCUACAAGAUAAAAGUUUGUCAUAUAUGUAAUGAUCCCUGUUAGUGUUUUUUAGGUCAGUGUGUUAUGAGUGACAAUCUGUGUUUCUGAGUGAGAAUGGUUGCCAGUGUUUUGGUGGAACAAGCUUGUUUUGGUGGUUUUAGUGAAUUUUGGAGGUGAGAUUAACUGUUUGGCAAAUACGCGUUUCAGAAAUGCAGACUGUGGGAAGAGUUUUGUUAUUGUUGUUUCAGUAUUGAACGAUAGUAUUGAAAAACUGCAAAUGAUAUUUAAUAAAUACGUUAAAAUAUAUCAUUUAUCUGUAAAAUCUUUGGGAGGAUGAUCAAACUGAGUACAGAAUGGAAGUAAAUCCUAUAUGCCUCAGCUCAGAGGCUAACAUUAUUUGACUACGUAGUUAAUUAUUUAGUAUCCAAAUGAUCUUUGUGUUUAACCGUUUGGCACUGUGCCAAAUGUCUAAUGUCUUCUGACAACCCCACUUGGAGCAGCUAAUGAGUGUGCAAUAAACAGGGAUUUCAAUAAACGCAACUGGGUCACAACCAGACACCACCCCGAUUGGUCACAGUCAGAGAUCCAGUCAGGGUUCUCUCCGGUGGGGUUUAGUGGGUGAGUGUCUUCUCCAUGAUUCUUAGCGGCGCAGCCGGAGAAGCCAUUGUUCGGAGCUCCAGGCACUACCAACCCUGCCAGGCACCUAAAGCCACUCGACCUCAUCAGGGUGGCUGGGCAGCCUGGGUGUCUGCAUGGUGAUUCAGCUCCAGGGGAACUCCUGCCUGGAGACCGGAGGAUGAUCCAAAUAGUCAGUGACCAAGUUAGCUCCAUAAAGAAGAAACCCGAAGGACAGCUGGCUGGUAGGUUGGGCAGAAACCCACCUAUAUAGCAUUGGGAGACAUGUAUAUCCGCAGUGAGUGGGAGCGUUUUUAAAGUUUUAUCGAUGAUCUUUUGUGCACCUUUCUUUGAGUAAACAUGCCGGCCAUUCAAGGUGUUUCUUCACUCUCCGGUCAAUCCUCUUGACACAUUCCUUCCUUUUAAUCCCCCUUCACUCUCUUCUCAUCCCUCUUCAAUUUCUCCACACUUUCCACCAGAACCCAUUAGGAAUUGGGUGCCACGUUCUUCUUGGCCCUGCCUACCGUGACUGAAGGGACAGGGUUUGGUUAGCGCACGAUGCCACACUGUGAGGCAACACGUAGCACUAGCGCAAAAAAAUAUGCUAUAUCUGGGGAGGUAACGUUGCCAAUGCAUUUAGGAGAUUCUGGGAUGUGCCGACAUAUCCAUGCCCAGACGUGAGGGCCCUCAAAUGGAUGAGGAAGAACUCUGCAUCGGGCUGUGGGAGAACAGCAGGUGACAACUGUAUGACAGAGCGUUUAGGUGUGUGCGUCUGCCAUUGUGUGUGUCUGUGUGAAUUGGGGACUGCGUUAUAUAACUCAGAAGGGUCUGUUCCUUUUUAAUGAGGCAAUGACGUCUGUCUGUUUUUCUGUGUUUGUGUGUGUGUGUGUGUGUGUGUCUGUAAAGCUUUUUAAUUAAUCUGCUUUCUAUCUGCAGGCUCUUCCAAUAUGUCAGUUAGCUCACUGAAACUCACACACACGAACACACACAAACACGCUCCAUCAUGACACUGGCUGUCUUUUUAUUUCCCAGGCCUGCUCAAGCGGAACUAAUCCACCCGACACCAGUGGUUAUUUUGCAGGAAGGUCUCCCCAGCAUCCAGUCCAAGUUAGGCUUGACUCGCCUGAACGUUGGGAAUCGCCUUGAAACACAGUGUGCUAUAACCGUCAUUAGCGAACAGCUCGGGACGAAAGCGUACUCCAGCCGAGAAGGUGCCGACCACUCAUUAGUUCAGUGCUACGCAAAAUCGUGACCCUUAACUUAACCACUUGGACUAAAUGCCUCAACUUAUAACCCAACCCUCAAAUUCGCACACAAACGUUAAUCUGUGCACACUCUCACACCAGUGUGGUUUUUCUUGCGUUGGGCACAUGCCUUCGGUUAACUAAUAUACACGCAUAUAAUUCUCUGACGUGAGACUGUGAGAACUUGUCAUAUUGUCAGUGAAAAACCCCUUCACAUACACACAUGUGCACGCACGUGCACACACACACACACUGCAUAAUAUUAAUUCCACCUCCAUUGUCUAAAGGGCAAUUCAAUUUCACAAAGGCAACAGAAAGCAGGCAAUUCAAACCUGUCAAACAAAUUUGAGAAACACCCCCCCCCCUGCCCACACACACGCACGCACGCGCACGUACAUAUUGUACAAUCCAACACGAUUCAUGGCAAAGGCAUUAUUGACUACGGAGAAUUUUGACAAGGGCGUAAUCAGUCCUUCAACAUCAAGCUCAAUAGGAAAAUGUGUGCUUGAGUGUGAGCGAGCGUGACUGCUUGUUUGUUUGUGUUCUCAUGUUCACACACUCAAGGUUUCCCCUCAGAGUCAAGGUGCAGAGACCGGUGAUAGAAAGUCUGAUGGCUCGUAAAGCUAUUCAGAAGGGUACAUGAGUACAUUUACCAGCUUCAAUUUACCAUGUUUCUGUGGAGUUAAAUAUACCGUAACUCUAUUGUACUUUUUAGACCGGACAACAGAAGCAAAUUCAACAUCCCACCCCUGAAAAACAAAGGAUUCGUCUGUCAACAACAACAAGCUCUUGGGCCUGGUCGCACCAGUUGGCUGUAAAAAAAGGUUUCUAGCAAAGGCUAGGUGUUGCUAAGUUCCACUUUGUGUUCAAAAUUGUCACCGGCGGCACCAGCCGAAUAUGGGACUAGUUGUAGCUAAGGCCAGGGUUAGCCCUGUGCGAUUAUGAAACAGCGUCAUCUCGGCUAAGUAGCACCAAUUAAUAUCCGUCACCAUCGUCGCGGCACUUCUAGCGUUUGCGUAGCCCAUCAUUAAUACUUUUUCUUACAUUUUAUUUUCACGACAAGUAGAUGGAUCCGAAAGAAACGACUGGAUUAAAUUAAUUUCAUUGAAUGACAUGUUAAGCGUUAUGGUACAUUUGAAGCCAGGUGUGAAAUCAUUGCGCGGGGAAAGGUUUUACGCUAAAUUCAGACCUCCCAACCAAAUGAAAGCCAACAAGUCUGUACAUUUAUAUAUAUAUAUAAAAAAAAUAUUUCACUCAUUCUACAUUGGUUUUAUUUGGUCUAAAUAUAUGUGGCGUAGCCAACAUGUGGUGUUGGUAGCUCAUCUUUACUGUAUGCAUGCUAAACCCACCAUAGUAACCUUUUGCAUUAUACCUUCCACUCUAGGAUUCACCUUCACAUCUAUCACUCUUAUUAGACCCAUCACACUAGCAUGUAGGUCUGACAUACAAGCAACAUAUACCAGCCGCAGAGUUAAGGCCCACUUGGUACCAAAUGGUGCAACCAGCCCCUAAUUGAACACACAAUUGUGACAUAGAAAUAAAAUUAAACUGUAAAAAAAAAAAAAAAUGUAAAGCUCAUACACUUUUCUUUACAGAUGCUUGGUUCCAUUGUUCUCAUCCAUAUUCCCUCAUUUUCCUUGUGUUUCUCCGGAACUUAUAAAGACAUUAGUGUGUGUAAACGAUAGCGCCAGAACUACUCGGUUCAUUGUGUCUUCGUGUACGUGUGAAAUUGUGUGGGUGUACGUAUCUUAUGUGUUGUUGGUCAAUGUGUGUGUGUGUGUGUGUGUGGGAUGUUCCUUGUGUGCGUCGUCAGAUUUGCAUUCGUCCAUUGUUCGUUGUGUAUCUAAAAUCUAUAUAAACACGUAUAUAUUCAUUUUUAAAUAUAUAGUUUGUUGGUCGCGCGUCGAAUUUGUCACAGUUGCUCUCCGGUAUCCAAAUCCACCAGUGUGGUGUGUAUGUGUGUUUAUGCAUGUGUGCGUGUGUGUGCAGUAACAUUUGUUGUUUAUACUGUAAUAGUAAUAUUCCCCUGGUAUAGGUGUUCCAUAUGACAUUGCAUUGCACAUCUCAACCGUAUGGAUCCAAGUUUAAUUAUAUGAGUACAAAGAGCCGCCAUUAUGGUUUCCUGGGAGCCAUUUCGUGCAUCCAGAUUCACAGAAAGAGCUUUAGUUUGAGAGCGACUGUAAAUCCACAGAGAGGCAAUCAGGGUUUUUUCUACCAUUUUGUACUGCAACUAUUGAUUUGUGUUCUCAAUAACCUUUAAAGCUACACUCAGAAAUUUGACAAAAUGUAUUCUCUUGAAC